rnacentral:tRNA from 1 species
UGUUCUGUGGCCUAGUUGGUUAAAGCGCCGGUCUAGCGAAUACGGAGUCGUGGGUUCGAAUCCCACCAAAACGC